ACAUAUUCUGAGAAGAGGAAAUAAAAUAUAUUUUUUGGCAAAGCGAAUUAGGGAUGGUGAAAGCCUAAAUACAAAUAUAUAUUUGAAAAGAGCCUUGGAGAAUCCAUCUGAAUAAAGUAGGAUAGGACGCAAGAUGCGUUAAAUAAAUGAGUGGGCAAUAGGCCAACAAGAGUGGUAACACGGGAAAACUCUCGUCUCUUAA
rnacentral:ncRNA from 1 species